UUAAGUUCAGCGGGUCCUCUCACUUCAUUUCAGAUCUGAUUUUGUUGUUUUGGAGUAAAAUAAUCCAAAGAACGGCGUGACGUUCCGCACUCGGUUUGGAUCAACUGCAGCGCACUGAGAUUGAUUGACGAUGGCGGUGUCGCACGAGGCGAACUUAACCACGUCACUCAGUUUGCUUCAGCCCAGCUUCCCCCAAAAGG
rnacentral:misc_RNA from 1 species